rnacentral:lncRNA from 1 species
ACCCGCGCGUUCAUCUGGGCAGUAUUCUUGCCGUUGCACUCGAGGGCGCCGUUGAUGGCCCUGAUGGUGGCGCCGAACCCCUGCGACAUCACCCCGUGCACGUUGUUGGUCCAGAACCAGAGCGCCGUCUUGAACGCGACCACGGCGUCCUGCGCCACCCUGUCCGGGUUCCGAAGCCCGUCGAAGCCGAUGUCCCUCCCGGCAGGCCCGUAGUUGUAGUUCCACGAGAUUUGCAGCGGGCCGCGCCCGUAGUACUUCUGACCCGCGGCACACGGCCACUGCCUGUUGCUCGAGUCGCAGUAGGCGUUGUUCUUGUUGAUCUCGCUGAUGUAGCAGAAAUCUGUAUGUGGUGUCCGUAUCGAGUCGUGCACACAGCAGAAUUACAAAAAUCGAUCAGCAUUAUGCAUGGGUCAAAAAUCAAAGACGAUUACGAUACUGUGGAAGAGAGAUUAGAGUGUGUGGUCAUCAGUGGACGUUCAAUCAACUUACGUCCGGUCUCGUGCGUGAUGUGGGCGAAGAAGGCGGCGAUCUCGCGCUUGCCCUGCACCGACCUGCCACCGAAGCCUUUGUACGCGUCGGCGGCGCUCAGGAACGCGCUCCGGGUGUAGAAGUUCUUGCCCUCGCACCCGUUCCCGGCCUGGUUCUUGAUGCUGUUGAAGAAUGCGUCGGUGACAACGCCAGCCACGUUCCCACCUCCACUGCUGCCGCCGCCAGAGCGGCACGGGCCCGACUGGCACCCGUCGCCGCAGUACUCGUCGGUCGUGCCGCAGUAACCGAACUUGCUGCAGCAGUAACCUGCCUGGCAGCCGCAGUUCUGCGCGGCGGCAGCGCAGAGGAGUGCUAGGCCGAGAGCCAGGACCGCCAUGAUCCUCGGCGCGAUUGCCAUACUGGAUCAGAUCAGUAGUACUUCAGCUUCUGGCCAAAGGUUUGUUGCUGCGGUGCAGCUUUGUUGCGAGGUGAUUUGAGAUGUCACGAGGGUGCCGCUUUAUAUAGGCAUCAGAACGUGCGUCUUGCCGAUGCAUGGCAUGCGACGUGGAGGAUUUGGACGGAGUGGCUGUGUCCCGGUCCACGCAUAGCACUGGCACGUACUGUACGACCGUUCCACGCAUUGCACUGGCACGUACGACUGUUCCACAUUUUAUGAUGGACUUUUGACACAUGGGACAGCUAGCAUGUAUCGACAAGCACAAGUCUAACGUACGUUGGUCGAGAUAUCAUCAGAUUUGGAUUGCCACCGCCCAUCGCCUGAAUGCUCGGUGGAAAAUCCGCGCAUGCUAGCUGCUAGAAGCCAUUUGUUUUCCAUUCCUAUAGUUUUUUUUCCUGACAGAUGCAGUCGCUCGUAAAUACGAGUGUACACUCAACCCUAUGAACAUACACGUACACUUAACUUCUAUGAACAUCUUCGAAAAAACAAAUUAGACCAAUAAAUCUUGAGAGACGCCUCGUUAUCAACAGGAACAUUACCUAUAUUGCAAAUCAAAGGAUCCUGAAAAAUAAGAGAUGCUGGAGAAUAAUAAUGAAGCCGAGAAGGACAAGUGAAGUAAAAGGAGAAGUUUGUAUUUUUUUGCCACCGGAGCCCGUCUGUUCCUUUGAAACUUUUUUCUUAUUCUAGUUUUUGGGAUGUUGUCUGUAAUCUUCAAUCUAGUUUCGCUGUUAGUGUAGCAAAUUGUUCGCUUUCUUAAACUCUGGUUAGUUGUAAGUGGCUGGUCUGGUUCUGUUUCUGUCUACACUAUGUUCUGAAUUAUAUUUCUGUUGGAAGUAAUGAAAAUGAGGAAGAUCCUUUGUAUAAAAAAAGAAUAGUGUCAUUAAAUCCUAGAAUAAAUCUUUCUUAUUCUAGUUUUUGGGACGUUGUCUGUAAUCUUUAAUCUAGUUUCGCAGUUAGUGUAGCAAAUUGUUCACUUUCUUAAACUCUAGUUAGUUGUAAGUGGCUGGUCUGGGUUCUGUUACUAUCUACACUCUGUCCCAAACUGUAUUUCCAUUGAAAGUAAUGAAAAUGGGGAAGAUCCCUUCUAUUGAAAAAAGAAUAGUACCAUUAAAUUCUAAAAUAAAUCUUUCUUAUUCUAGUUUUUGGGACGUUGUCUGUAAUCUUCAAUCUAGCUUCACUGUUAGUGUAGCAAAUUGUUCGCUUUCUUAAACUCUAGUUAGUUGUAAGUGGCUGGUCUGGGUUCUGUUCCUGUCUACACUCUGUCCCGAACUGUAUUUCCGUUGGAAGUAAUGAAAAUGCUUGUAUCGAAAAAAAUAGUUCCAUUAAGUCCUAGAAUAAAUCUAAAAAAAUUCAAGUAGCUGUGUCAAAUCAGUUAAACUUGGACGGUCAGGUUUCACCACAAUCCAACCAGCUGAGCUCGCUCAGUUUGCAUAUUUCCUAUAGUCUGUUUUGUCUUUGUCCUUCCGUAAAAAGAAUUAUAAUUAUUUUAUUGUGAUUUGUGCUAAUAGAUUUAGAACGUUAGAUAGAGAUCUGAUAGUGUUAACCGUCGCCUGAACAAAUGCUAUAUUUCAAACACGUGUAACUUUUCUCGUAUACGUACUGUUGCUUCAAAAAACUCCAUGUACCUCGCAUGUGAGUAUUUAUUGGUGGCCUUGGCCUGCGUGUUCCAACUAAGGCUACCAGAAAUGGUCAACCAAGAACGGAAGACUUCCAAGCUAGCUACCGGUGAUGGAUUGGGCCAUAUGCAUGAUCAAACGAAGUCGUAGAUAGCUUUCUAUAUUUUUGUUAUUUCUGUAGAAGGCUCGUUGGCUUUUUUCCUUCCUUAUUCUCAUUAUGCGUGGAUUUAGAAUAGAAGAGUUCUAGCACUCAAUACAGCGGAAGAUUGUUCUCGUGCCUCACUUUAUUUAUUAAUCGCUCCCUCUAUCGUGUAGUAUAUUCUAAAAAUUAUAAGACAAAAUAAAGAAGAAUAUAAAAUACGUAUCUACCUUUGCUUUAUUUCUUGAUGAGACGUUAUUAUCAACUUAAUUAAUGGUGAUUGGUUGAUAAAUAGAAAAUAUUUUUAACGCCCCCCCCCCCCCACCCCCCACUGACACAAAUUUUGGGCCGUGGUGUAGUGCCACUAAAUGAUGGUGAUUGGUUAAUAAAUGGCAAGUAACACUACCAUACCUACCAAAUUUGUGCAACUAUUUCAUUCAAAAUUAUUUUUCCUCUGUAAUCCCUUGGUUUUGGGUUUAAUUUUUAAUGUUUGUAUGCACUAUAUUAUAUGACAAAAGGAAGUAUAUAACACCCCCUAAUGUCCAGUGUUCGCCGACUGACUUCUCUUUUAAUCAGCCGUGGAAACUGGUUGAAUAUAUACUGUAUACUUACAUCCAAACCCAUGCAAGGAGACCCUUGAAAAGAACACAAAAUUUGCACUGAAGUUAUUUUUUGAGGUUUGAUCUAUCGCAUAUGUGGCCUACCAUUAGGGAUUAGCAGCGCUGGAUGCGCUCUGAUCCACUGUUACUUGGUACUCCUACUAGCCUACUAGGUAAUAAUGUAAGCGUAAAGUAAUCAAAACUCAUCAACAGAGGAAGAUUUGUGAUCGAUAGUAUAUGCAUAAGAUAAUUCAAUCGGAAUAAGAGCAUCUCUAACAGUUAUGCAAUUGGAAUUUGCCAUUUGUUUGAGUUUGCCAAGUCUCUAAACGUUUUGCCAAAGGAAAAAUAAGUUCAUCUCCAAGUGUUUGACAUUUUUGACUUGACAUUUCCCAAAAUAGUGGACCCAACUAUUUUUGUCCGGAAAUCUUUCAUCUUCGCGGGAAAUUUUCUCGCACGUCGCGCGGGCGCUUUCUUUUUCGCACGCAAUUCCUUCGCCCGUCGCGUUCCUUUGUCGCGAUCGAUCUCCGUGAUCAACUCGACGCGGCAGCAGCGCGUGGACUUCGACGUCUUCCUCACGCCGGUGAACCCCAACAAGAUGACGGCGUUGUGGUACAGGAGCGGCACGGUGAAGAUGCGGCGAUGGAUUUCCUAGCCUCGCGUCGCUGCAAGAAAAGGAGGCAGUGAUGGAUCUCUUUGUCCCUGCGCAAAGAAAGGAGACGGCGCGCGGGGGAAAGAAAAGAGUCGCGCGCGAGGAGGACUCGUCUCGCGGGAAACUACCGCGACGUGGGGGUACGACAAGGAGUCCAAGAUUCUCAGGAUAUCAAAAUUGCCAAACCAUUGUGCUUAUGCAAAAAUGCCAAGUUUGGUCCAUCAAAUGUCAAGUUUGCCAAAAUGCAUAAGUCAAAUGUAAAAUUGUUGGAGAGCAAUUUUUAAGGUUUUUGGCAAAUUUCAAGAAUGCAAAGUCCAAUUGCAUAAUGGUUGGAGAUGCUCUAAGAAAUUUGUUUUUCAUUGCAUAGCUCAACCAUUCAGGUACUAUGUUGCACAAGAACCACUUUUCAUCAUGAUUGGUUAUUGGUAUAUGGCCUUCUUUGUGUUUGCAAAAUCUCUCAUAUUUCCAUGCGUUUGGCGGAGAGCGACAAGGUGUGUGUCUCACAAAUCAUCUCCUUCCUCUUAUUUCUUCAACAAAUCAACAUAGGCACAGGUAUGGCUGGAAGGGGCCGAUUCAGCCAAGAGAGCAGCCACCAGCGGCAACGGAUGAAACCGCAAGCUUCACCUAAUCACCACCCACGCACCCGAAGAUGGUUUUAAUUGGUCGAGGCUAGUAACAAGUUGGCCGAGCCUAAGAGCCUUCCCGUCCAGCGGUCGACAACAACAAGUAGAAGGUAGAAGAUAGAUGGAGAUAAAAUGGUAGAUCUGACAUAGAGUUAUCCUAAAUACGUGUGUGCGGAGACGAGAGAACUGCGGCGGACUCAUCUGCACAUUUGUUGAAGCUCGCCUAGACACAGACACUGUUUAUUGAUUUAGUCUUUAAACCCUUGAUGCAAUCGUAGUAAAGUACAAGCGCGAGUGUACACACUAAUGUUUCGAGGGUAUAGUUGCUUCAUUAUUAGUAAGGUGCAACAAACAGGCUCAGCCCCAGCGUUUUAUUGUUACUACUAGCUAGCUCGUACUCGCUAAACUCUGUGUUUCGCGAGGGUGCGACGCCGAGCAUGCAUUUUCUGGACGAGCCAUCCAAGGACUGCCGACGCCACUCGCCUAGCAAGUGAGGUUGGGCCCGGGGUCGACGCCGAGCUGCCGGCAGUACUGCUUGUAGUAGCCCACCCGCGCGUUCAUCUGGGCAGUAUUCUUGCCGUUGCACUCGAGGGCGCCGUUGAUGGCCCUGAUGGUGGCGCCGAACCCCUGCGACAUCACCCCGUGCACGUUGUUCGUCCAGUACCAGAGCGCCGUCUUGAACGCGAUCACGG